rnacentral:lncRNA from 1 species
GGGAGGUCGAAAGGAGGUCGCUUAUUGUUGGAGCUCGGUCGAAGAUCGAUUGUCGUGGGAGCUCGGAGUAACGACCUGGCCGGUGGAUCCCGCCCCAUGGUAGAAGCUCAUCUGAGAUCCGGCUAUGAAGAAGCUCGGCCAAAGUCUACCUGUAACGGAUGUUCGAAAGAAAUUUGUUUACAGUACAGGCUCAAAUAGAGUUUGCUUACAUUGGAUAUCCAAAGCAAACCGCUGACUAUAUGAGUUCGGAGUAGACUGCCUGUAGUAGAAGUUCGGCUCUCACAGGAGCCCGGUUGGAAUCCUGAAGGUGGUCGACCACUAUAGAAACUUGGAUGGAGUCUGAUUACUGUAGAAAUCUCAUUGUCGAAGAAGCUCAGAUAUUGGCAGAGUCCGGAAGAAGUUCAGAGAAUAGUUGAUCACUAUAGAAGGUCAGCUGGUGGUGAGGCCCAGAGAGCUUUUGGGGCGGCCCAGUAGACGAAUGCAGAAGUUCACUAUCGGAGAAGUCCGGACAGUCGAGGGGGUUUGGAGUGAUGCCACACAC